CACACACACAAAAAAAACACAAAACCUUGAAAAAUCCCCGAUAGCAAACACGUUCAUGUGAUGCCCAAAACGGCAUCACAUGAACAUUAGACAAUGCAUCCUGCCUUUCGUUUUUUCCGUCCCCAGGGUGGUUAAGACGCACUUCGUGUACUAACAAACCCGGAAGUUGUUUAUCGUCACGAUGUCGCUCCGUGCUGCGCAGUCUCUUAGUCCUGAUGGCAGCGCUUCUUAGCACAGAUGUAAGCUUAUCACACAUUUGAUUUCCAUGUGUGACAACUGCAAGUGUCCAGAGUGAGGACAGACUGAGGGACCCACUGCUGCACAUCAUCUGUGAGGCUUUGCACCCCUGAUGAUCCACCAGGACAAACUCAGCAGUGUGUGAGGAAGAGGAGGAGGAAGAGCCAGCAGCAGCUGACAGAUGGAGAGAAUAGACAGACUGUUCCCUGUUUGUGAAGGACUGCUAGAAAAGUUUAAAAUAACCGUCUGUCCUGAAUCAGUCUUAUUAGGUAAUGUUCAAAUAAUUUGAUCAUUCCAGUGUUUUCAGUGUGGGAGAAAGUACUCAGGGCCUUCAAGUUACACACUAUGAAAGGCAGCAACAAGUUUAAUGUUCAGAAACCUAAAGUGUGAGAAUGGAGAUAAAAAUAAAUGUUUGUUUCAGUUCUAUGAAGCUUUGAGUAUUUUGGAUUUGUUGUGUUUGUGGC
ensembl:lncRNA